CUCAUGAUCCCCUGCAGUUGUGAUCUGGGCCAGUGGAUGGCGUGGGCAGAAGUGAUGCAAAUGACAUCCAGAAACACCCACACUCAAGAUUAUCCCCACCGGGAUCCUCACUUCUCAUUCCUUGCCUGCCAGACAAGAAGCAAGAACAGUCAGGGCCCCCUACAAGAUCCCAUUUCCAGAGAGAAGGACUGAGGGCCCUUGGAUAACUCCACAAAGCAGACAUCCAUUUGCCAGCACAUCUGUGAAUAACUGAGACCUAGUUACAUGUGAGGGGAAACGGAAGACAAGGAAAGAGCUCUAGCAGAAUGAGGGCCCAGAGGUACAAAGUCAUCCAGUUUAAUGAAAGGAAGGAGAUCUCAUGCACUGAGGGUGGAGAGCUUGGGAAAGAGCUCCAGGGGAAGCAAGAGAAAGCCAAAGAGCAGAAACUGGACCCCACUGGGGACAGGUAUUUGGCCACUAAUUGCCGUAAAACAAAAUCAGCCCAAACACAACAGCUUCAAACAA